rnacentral:rRNA from 1 species
GAUGGGUUUACGUGGGAGAUUCUGUGUCACAGGAUUAAGUUGAAAUUAUUUUUAAAGUGAAGAAACUUUAAUAAGGCAGAAAGACGACAAGACCCUAUGAAGCUUAAUAGAUAUAACUUUCUAAAAUGAUGGUUUAAUAUUUUAAUGGGGCAUUAUAGAAUGGAGAUAUUCUAAUAUUUGUUAGUCCUACCGGAUUUAACUGUGUUCAUAUAAGGAAAGCUACUCUAGGGAUAACAGCGAAAUUUUUUUUGAUAGAAGACAUUAGAAAAAAAGUUUGCGACCUCGAUGUUGGC